rnacentral:rRNA from 1 species
UACGGAGGGGACUAGCGUUGUUCGGAAUUACUGGGCGUAAAGCGCACGUAGGCGGAUUGUUAAGUCAGGGGUGAAAUCCCGAGGCUCAACCUCGGAACUGCCUUGAUACUGGCAAUCUCGAGUCCGGAAGAGGUGAGUGGAAUUCCUAGUGUAGAGGUGAAAUUCGUAGAUAUUAGGAAGAACACCAGUGGCGAAGGCGGCUCACUGGUCCGGUACUGACGCUGAGGUGCGAAAGCGUGGGGAGCAAACAGG